UCAAGCGAACAAGGGCGCAGGGCGAAUGCCUUGGCACUGGGAGCCGAUGAAAGACGUGAUAAGCUGCGAUAAGCUUCGGGGAGCUGCAAAUAAGCAUUGAUCCGGAGAUUUCUGAAUGAGGAAACUCACCUGGGUUCAUACUCAGGUACGUUGUACUGAAAUUCAAAAUAGGUACAUCGGGGGAACCGCCUGAACUGAAACAUCUAAGUAGGGCGAGGAAGAGACAUCAAACGAGAUUCCGUAAGUAGUGGCGAGCGAACGCGGAAGAGGGCAAACCGGGAGUAGAAAUACUUCCGGGGUACGGAGCGCAUUUAAGACUUAAGUUGUUAACCGAACGGCAUGGGAAGGCCGGUCAGAGAGUGUGAGAACCACGUAGGUGAAAAUGACGAGAGCUGAGCGAUUUCCAGAGUACGGCCAGACACGUGAAACCUGGUCGGAAGAUGGGGGGACCACCCUCCAACCCUAAAUACUACCCAGUGACCGAUAGCGUAUAGUACUGUGAAGGAAAGGUGAAAAGCACCCCGGGAGGGGAGUGAAAAAGAACCUGAAACCCUGUGCCUACAAGCACCUAGAGCACGUCAAUGUGUGAUAGGGUACUUUUUGUAGAACGGUCCGGCGAGCGAUUGUAUGCAGCAAGGUUAAGGACUUAAGGUCUGGAGCCGAAGCGAAAGCGAGUUUGAAAAGGGCGUUAAGUUGCAUAUAAUGGGCCCGAAACCGGGUGACCUACCCAUGGUCAGGUUGAAGUGGAAGUAAAAUUCCAUGGAGGACCGAACCGACCUCCGUUGAAAAGGCGGCGGAUGAACUGUGGGUAGCGGAGAAAUUCCAAUCGAACCCGGAGAUAGCUGGUUCUCCCCGAAAUAGUUUUAGGACUAGCCUCAAGUUAGAUACCUGGAGGUAAAGCACUGAAUAGCCUAGCGGCCGAGAGGUUAGCGAAGCUUAUCAAACUCAGAAUGCCAGAGUAUUGAUGCUUGGGAGUCAGACAGUGUCAGAUAAAUGUCAUUGUCAAAAGGGAAACAGCCCAGAUCUACAGCUAAGGUCCCAAAGUCAGGUUAAGUGGAAAACGAUGUGAAGAUACGCAGACAACCAGGAUGUUGGCUCAGAAGCAGCCACUCAUUCAAAGAGUGCGUAAUAGCUCACUGGUCGAGCGUCUUUGCGCGGAGAAUUUAACGGGGCUAAACCUGACACCGAAGCUUAGGCAAUCCAGUAAUGGAUUGGGUAGGGGAGCGUUGUAUACGCGGAGAAACAGUAGCGUAAGCGGCUGUGGAGUGUAUAGAAGUGAGAAUGCCGGAAUGAGUAGCGCGAAUGCAGUGAGAAUCUGCAUGGCCGAAAGCCUCAGGUUUUUGGAGGAAGGUUCGUCCGCUCCAAGUUAGUCGGGAGCUAAGGUGAGGCCGGAAGGCGUAGCCGAUGCACAGACGGUAGAGAUUCCGUCACCACCAAAAGAGUUAAGCACAGGGACACAUUUGAAGUCUCAGAGCCGGGUGUUGGUUCCGGUAGAGAUCGAGGGAAAUUAGUACCGAAGUCUGGGAUGGAAGAUGGCGAGAAAAGCUGUGUGUAUUUCUGAGGUGCCCGUACCGCAAACCGACACAGGUAGGUAGGAAGAAGAUUCUAAGGCCAACGGGAGAAGGGUUGUUAAGGAACUCGGCAAAUUGACCCCGUAACUUCGGGAGAAGGGGUGCUCCAGAGAUGGAGCCGCAGAGAAUCGGCCCAAGCAACUGUUUACCAAAAACACAGGUUUGUGCUAAAUCGAAAGAUGACGUAUACGAGCUGACGCCUGCCCGGUGCUGGAAGGUUAAGAGGAGAUGUGCAAGCAUUGAAUCGAAGCCCCAGUGAACGGCGGCCGUAACUAUAACGGUCCUAAGGUAGCGAAAUUCCUUGUCAGGUAAG
rnacentral:rRNA from 1 species